rnacentral:rRNA from 1 species
UAGCCAGACUCCUACGGGAGGCAGCAGUGAGGAAUAUUGGUCAAUGGGCGCGAGCCUGAACCAGCCAAGUCGCGUGAGGGAUGACGGUCCUACGGAUUGUAAACCUCUUUUGCCGGGGAGCAAGCGUGCGUUCGUGAACGCACGUCGAGAGUACCCGGAGAAAAAGCAUCGGCUAACUCCGUGCCAGCAGCCGCGGUAAUACGGAGGAUGCGAGCGUUAUCCGGAUUUAUUGGGUUUAAAGGGUGCGUAGGCGGGAUGCCAAGUCAGCGGUAAAAAUGCGGUGCUCAACGCCGUCGAGCCGUUGAAACUGGCUGUCUUGAGAUGUCGAGAGGUAUGCGGAAUGCGCAGUGUAGCGGUGAAAUGCUUAGAUAUUGCGCAGAACUCCGAUUGCGAAGGCAGCAUACCGGCGGCGAUCUGACGCUGAGGCACGAAAGCGUGGGUAUCGAACAGGAUUAGAUACCCUUGUA